GCUCCCGUAGUGUAGCGGCCAAUCAUCGGGGCCUUUCGAGCCUUGGACGCGGGUUCGAAUCCCGCCGGGAGCA
rnacentral:tRNA from 1 species